UUAAGACUACCGAGUUUGUAGCUUUUGGAAGCAGUAAAAAAUUGAUUUUUUAUUUUUUCACUAAAUCAUUUAGGAUUUACCUAGUUGGGUUAAAGUUCUUUUGAAUAAGACAUCAUAGAGGGUGAUAAUCCCGUAUUUUUGGCCCCCGGGUUUAGUGGAAGAGAAAAAGGUAAAAAAUUCUCUAAAUUUUUAUAAGCUGUCUUUCUGUGAGUCGGGUUGUUUGGGAAUGCAGCCCUAAUUGGGAGGUAAAUUUCUCCCAAAGCUAAAUAUAAGCAAGAGACCGAUAGCAUACAAGUACCGUGAGGGAAAGAUGAAAAGCACUUUGAAAAGAGAGUGAAAUAGUACGUGAAAUUGUUGAAAGGGAACCAGUUGGUACUGGCCAUUACUUUUUAUAACUAAUUUAUUAGUUUUAAAAUUAAAAAGUCAACAUCAGUUGCAAGAAAAUUAAUCAUUAGAAAAGGAGGGGAUGUGUUUAGAAAUCACCAAAGGAAGGUAGGAAGGAUUUUACCUGGGAAAAUUUUUUAAAUUUUUCCACCUUCUGUUAUAGACUUUGAAAUUUUUUUUUCACAUUUUUUUUAAUACUUUUUGUUAAAAUGAUUGCGACUGAGGAAAGUUGUGUGUAAGGCUCGAGUUGAAAGUCAAAUUUUACUCGAGUCAAGUCAAUUUAUUAAAGUAAUUUUGAGUAAUUAUUUUUUAGACAGCCUAGCUUGACUAAAUUAUUAAUUAAUUAUUUUUCUCAAUUUUUUACCGCUUUAAUAAGUUUGAACUAAAAAACACAUUGGAUGUUGAUAAAGUUUUUCUUAAUGGCGCUAACUGCCCCCUCUUGAAACCCGGACCAAGGAGUUCAACAUACUUGCGAGUAUAUGGGCAGGAAAUAGUUUUUUUUAAAAUUACUCCAAAAAAUAAACCCAGAUGCGUAGCGAAAGCAAAUUAGAAUUAUAAAUAAUUCUUAUAGAGUGCCAAGUUUUUUCCUCUUUAGGGGGGGAAAGAUGGCAGCACCAACCAACUUUAGAUAGCGUCGCUUGAAAAAGUUGAGUAAGAGCAGGUAUGCUGAGACCCGAAAGAUGGUGAACUAUGCCUGAAUAGAGUAAAGUCAGAGGAAACUCUGAUGGAAGCUCGUAGAGAUUCUGACGUGCAAAUCGAUCUCCAAAUUUGGGUAUAGGGGCGAAAGACUAAUCGAACCAUCUAGUAGCUGGUUCCUGCCGAAGUUUCCCUCAGGAUAGCAGAGACUUGAACUUUUUUUUAAGCAGUUUUACGAGGUAAAGCGAAUGAUUAGAGGCCUUGGGGCUGUAAUAGCCUUAACCUAUUCUCAAACUUUAAAUGCGUAAGAAGAUUUAGUUUCUUAAUUUGAACUAAUAUCAUUUUGAAUGCAACUAGUCUCUAGUGGGCCAUUUUUGGUAAGCAGAACUGGCGAUGCGGGAUGAACCGAACGUAAAGUUAAGGUGCCUAAAUGUCACGCUAAUUUAGAUACCAUAAAAGGUGUUAGUUCAUCUAGACAGCAGGGCGGUGGCCAUGGAAGUCGGAAUCCGCUAAGGAGUGUGUAACAACUCACCUGCCGAAUGAACUAGCCCUGAAAAUGGAUGGCGCUUAAGCGUGCUACCGAUACUCUACCGCAAUAGUUAUUUUUUUUUUUAAUAAAGCUAUUGCGAGUAGGCAGGCGUGGGGGUUUGUAUAGAAGCGUAGGGG
rnacentral:rRNA from 1 species